GUUGCAAUGUCUCUCUUGACAUGUUUUGGAGCUUACAGACGGCGUUUAAAGCGGUGUGGUCAUUAUUAGCACGUCCUGGGGCGGCAGUAGCCUGCUUAUCAGACUGAACUGCCAUUUCCUUUUUACUUCACUUGAGUUUCAGAACAAACAGGAGGUCUGGAAGCAAGCUCGGGCAGCAGUAUCAGUGCCCUUACCUGGAACAAUAUCGAAAGUAUGGCUACAUAAGCAGGCAAGCAUGGAGGCGACUGUAUCUGCAGUGGUACAGAGGGUCAUCUCCAGUCGUAAGGUGCUUUCUGAUCCCUGGCUCCCUGUGCCAGAAUUUUAAACGACAGAGUAAGACCUCCACCUGCUCUCUGAAAAAGCUGGUGGUCAAGGUGUACAGGAUGGGGUUCAAGGCGCUGUUGAUGGGAAGGAUGAAGAUGACCACCCAGCUGGAGAUGGUAUCUCCACCUCCAGCAGUGAGAGGAUUUUCACCAUAAAUAUGGGAAUCCAGCAGAGGGCAUCAGAGAACACGAUGAAGAAAAAUCUGUUGGCCACAGCCACAUCUCUGUGCAGUCUGCUCCUCAAGUCC